CUUCAUGUCCAGUCAACAAUUCAUACACCAUGUCCUCGUCCGCAUAAGUCGAUCGGUACCUCAGAUAAAAUAGUAUCAGCUGAUUUACUGCAGUCAUCAUAUACGUUUUUGAUUAUCAGCUCCUAAACGUGUCUAGGUCACACCCCACAAGGGUACUCCUGGGCCAUUAGCUCAGGUGGUUAGAGCGCACCCUGAUAAGGGUGAGGUCCCUGGUUCAAGUGCAGGAUGGCCCAUUCGGUUUUGGGGGUAUAGCUCAGUUGGUAGAGCGCGUGCUUUGCAAGCAGGAUGUCAGCGGUUCGAGUCCGCUUACCUCCACUGACCAACCCCGUAAAGGAUCCAAUUGAGAGGACCAGUGUGUGAUGUGAUUUAGAUUGAUUCGGCUGAAAGACCCUAGCUUCUUAUCAUUCCAAUCUAAAAAAUACUUUAGAUAAGGUUGAUAUGACGCUGGGCUCAUUGAGACUUGAGAGAGUCCCAAAGAAGUUCAGCAGAACCUUGACAACUGCAUAGUGAGUCUGGAAAAAAUUUAAAGCAUCUCAUAGAUGACAGACGUAUUUUUCUUGACAUAAGUCAACUGAUAUAUUCAGGGAUUUAGGUCUAGAAUUUAAAUAUUGUUUGAUUCUUGAGCAAGAGCCGAGACUCUAUAGCG
rnacentral:tRNA from 1 species